GUUGGUCCAAUUCCAACAAAGCGUGUUCGCUCUGUUGCAUCUAGGCAUAGGUUUACAAGUCCUUUUAAUGCUGGAGUGCAGACUCCAGUGAAGACAGAUGCUUCAAGUGGAGAUACUAGUUCUUUUCAGGAUGACCAGAGUACCUUGAAUGGAUCCCAAAUCCAGAAGAGUGUGGAGGUUGAGUCAGUUGGGGACUUCGAAAAGCAGUUACCGUAUGACUGUGCAGAGACAUCAACAAAACCAAAAAAGAAGAAGA
rnacentral:misc_RNA from 1 species